UACGUAGGUGGCAAGCGUUGUCCGGAUUUACUGGGCGUAAAGGGCGUGCAGGCGGUCUGCUAAGUCUAGGGUGAAAGCUCCCGGCUCAACUGGGAGAGGUCCUUGGAUACUGGCGGACUGGAGGGAGGUAGAGGAGAGUGGAAUUCCCGGUGUAGUGGUGAUAUGCGUAGAUAUCGGGGAGGAACACCUGUGGCGAAAGCGGGCGCACUGGACCACAAACUGACGCUGAGGCGCGAAAAGCUAGGGGGAGCAAACAGG
rnacentral:rRNA from 1 species